ACAUUCUUGAAAAUUAUCUUAUGUAAUCAUUCUUUUUUAAGCUUUAAAGACGGUUUUAGAAGACAAAUUGUGCUUCUACUGUAUAUUAAUAAAGGAAAUCAACUUCACUGUAGAUUCCAGGAAGGACUUAAAAGGUUUAAAGAACUUCAAGAGCUGAAGGAGGAGGAAGAGAAAGCUGAAGAGAAGCCGAAGGACUCUGAGGAGGAAGCAAGAGGAAAUAAUGAUAAAGACACAAAUACUAAUAGCAGGUUUGAGGAGGCAUUAGAAGUCUUUGACCGGAUAUUCCCAAAAUUCUUCAGACGAAAUCGAGUGCUCUGGAUCGUCCUCACUCUGUUUUUCGCUUCAUUCAUACUUGUCAAUGUCAUAAGCUUCUUCAGUAACUGCUACAGUGAGAGCGGAGACACGUCUGCAGAGAAGUCCGCCGUCCCAGGCAAGAAGUUUUUUGGACUGAAUGUGGGGUCAAAGACACCUGCCCCAGAAUGACAUUAUUUUCUUCCAUCAUGGAGAGACAGAUCAAGGGAAUUCUGCUGGCAAUUUCUUUAACAAACACAGCUCAUAUUGUUUCUACCAGUCUUUCACACUGCAUUUAGUAAACAGCAGAAAUACUUGUUAUUGUUUAGGGACCAAGUGUGCUUAAAUGAGAAAUCAGAUUUGCUUUGUAAACUAAAUUGAUAAGUUAUAAUACUUGAGGUUGGGAAAGUUGGGAUUUCUUGUUAUUGUGGAGAAACGUUUGAUAUAAGAUUAUACCACUCGAACCUUAUGAUUAAACUUCUCAGGUUUUGUGAAAUAUAUAUUUGAUAUAUAAAUACAAUAUUUAAUACAAAAUUUGGUACAGUAUGUUUCUUUGCGGUUGUUUUUGUUGUUUAUUUGACUUGACAUUCCAAGGUAGAUCCUAAAGUGCAAUAUUUUGCGACUGGUAGUUGACGGUUGUGUGGGGUUGUGCCUUCAGAGCACUGGUUUUAAUAGUACAGAAUUUUUCACAACUUUAAAGAGCACUUUUAACUAGCAUGAAAGAAUUCAUAUUUGCACAUGUACUUCACCUUGUAAUAAAGGUGUUUGAAAAUCGCACGUGGUUGUUUCUAGAGUACAUGUGCUAUUCAAUGCAUGGUUGAAAAUUAAGCCUAUUUUUUAUUACAAUACCAUUAAAGUUCAUGACUUGAAUCGUUUUGACAUUUGUCUUAUCCCAUAAUAAUAAGAAUUACUUCUUAUGUCAUAAUGACAACUUAAUAUCUCAUAAUUUCAACAUAACAAUAUCUAUGUAUUAAUUUUACCAAAGCAUUUUUUCUUCUUAUGUGGUGGAAAUUGGCUUUCAUAAUGAUCAGUUUAUCUUAUUGUGUCUGACACUUUUUGCCAUAAUUUCAGCUUUUUUUUCUUUCUUUUUUUUUUUUUUUUUUUAAUUGUGUCUGACUACUUUUUGUCCUAUUAAUUUCUAGUCUUUUUUUCUCUUUUUUUUUUUUUUUUUUUUACUUUUUUAUAUUAUAAUUAUGGAAAUUAGGCUUCCAAUGGUGAUUAGUUUAUCUCAUAAUUUAUAGUUUUUUUUUUUUUACUUUUAUCUAAAUUUGUAACUUUUUAUGUUAUAAUUAUUGUGUUUUAUCUAAUACUUUUGACUUAUGUUAUAAUUAAGGCUUAUUAUUUCAUAAUCAACUUUUUAUCUCAUUUUCAAUGCAUGUUAAAUUGACGUUUUAUCUCAUUUUCAGUGCACGUAAAAUUUUACUUUUAUCUCAUUUAACUUUGUUAGUUUUUAGGACAAUCAAGAUUUUGGGGAUAUCACGAUUAUUUUUAACAGAAUUUUCCCUGCAAAUUCUCAAAUUUCUGUGAUAAAGAGUUAAGUGCAACAAAUGGCACUUUGAUGCCAUAUGUAUAUUUAAAUAUUAUUUUAAAAAAAAUUGCAAGAAAGAUUCUGUUCAUAUUAUGCUAAUGAGAAUUAAUUAUCAUUAAAAUAAUGUCAGUAAUUGCCAUUUAAAUAUCAUGGUGCAAUUAAUAUUAUUUUCGUUGGCCUUUAUAUAUAUAUAUAUAUAUAUAUAUAUAUUAGUUUCCAAUUUACUAGUCUUUUUUCUUCUUUUUUUUUUUUUUUUUUUUUUACUUUUAUAUUAUAAUUAUGGAAAUUAGGCUUCCAUGGUGAUUAGUUUAUCUCAUAAUUUAUAGUUUUUUUUUUUACUUAUCUAAAUUUGUAACUUUUUAUGUUAUAAUUAUUGUGUUUUAUCUAAUACUUUUGACUUAUGUUAUAAUUAAGGCUUAUUAUUUCAUAAUCAACUUUUUAUCUCAUUUUCAAUGCAUGUUAAAUUGACGUUUUAUCUCAUUUUCAGUGCACGUAAAAUUUUACAGGGAAACUUGAAAGAACCUGGAAAAGUACAUAAACAUGGAAAACGUAGAGGGAAAGGUGGAAAUUUCUUUAAAGAAAAUGUAUGUUUCUGGGUUUCUCUGCUUUAAGCUAUUUCAUGGGCUAGAUAUUAUUCUUUAUGAAUGCUGCAAAGUCAGAAUGAAACAUCAGUCUGUUUUUUGAGACUAAUAAUAAAACACUAAAUAUAUUAUGUAAGCAAGUGUAAUCUUUUAAAUCCAUUAACUCCUAAAUUCGUACCUGUUUGAUGUGCCAAAACAUCUGCUUUAAUUAUUUCCAACUGGAUGGGAAAUGCUCAUGAAAAUUAACUGAACAAAAUGUACAGGAACAUUGUGUAUAUAUACAAAUUAGGACACCAUUUAACAGUACAGACGCCAAUUACUCAUUAUCAUAAGCUCCUGUAGGUCUGUUUGUUAAUAAAUUAAAUGCUUUAUGUAUUACCAUGUUAGUUUCUUAAUAGCACCUAGUACAUUGUGUUGUCUGUCAUACUGCAGUUUCUCCACUGAGCACUAGAAGCAGUCACGUUUUGUUUUUCAAAGUCACUCUUUGGUUUUGCCAGCAUAUUUAUUUACCACAGUAAGGAACACUUGCAAUAGUUUAGGAAACCUCUGCAAAGGCACAUAUUUUAAAAUGUUUAAUCCUAACAAACCCAUAUAAAUUUUAUUUAGGCAUGACAAUGGUCUUUCUCAGCAGAAUCUUUUAACUUCAGGGUCAACAUGCAAAACAGAACAGGGGAAAUGAGGGAUUUGCAUCACUGUUAAUUUACAGUGAGAUAUUUGAGCCACCUUUAAGUUUGUGUGUGUGUUUAACCUUUAUGAGGAGCUGCCUGAUUUGAAUAAUCACGCCUUUAGGGUAUAAAGAAGAAAGAGAUUAAUGUUACAAACAAGCUUCCAUGUGUUGUGCUGCUAGUUUUGUCUUGAACUGCAAACAAUACCCUGUUUUAAUGCUACUUAUAGUUAUUUUAAAUUUGACGUUACAGAAAUACUUUUUAAUAAGAAUUGACAGUGAUGGCUGUGUUCACGUUCAAUGAUAAAUGCAAAGACUGAGGCAGGUUUUGUGUGUGUGGUCCAACAGCAGUUGUGGUCUCUGUCACAGAACGUGUCUUUCAACACCUUAGUGUGGAGAUGUCCUGUGCUAUCAGAGGGAAGAGGGGAAGAGAAGAGGAAAAGGGUGAAAGAAUAAGAGAGAGAAUGAAAGAGAAAUAGGCUCAUCUGUCAGGAGGUCAAGUCCUCCUGGAAUAUGAGUGUGUGUUUGUGGAGUCAUCAGUGAGAGAGUGAAACUAACCUGUUGGUUCACAACCAUGUAUAGCUAAAAC
rnacentral:lncRNA from 1 species